ACUCAAAGGAAUUGACGGGGGCCCGCACAAGCGGUGGAGCAUGGGGUUUAAUUCGUCACUAACCGAAGAACCUUACCCAGACUUGACAUCCCUGGACCGCCGGUGAAAGCCGGUUUCCUCGCAAGAGGCCAGGAGACAGGUGUUGCAUGGCUGUCGUCAGCUCGUGUCGUGAGAUGUUGGGUUAAGUCCCGCAACGAGCGCAACCCUCACUGUAUGUUGCUAGCGGAAACGCGCACUCAUGCGGAACUGCCGGGGUAACCCGGAGGAAGGCGGGGAUGACGUCAAGUCGGCAUGGCCCUUACGUCUGGGGCUACACCCAUGCUACAAUGGAUCGGACAGAGGGCUGCAAGACCGCGAGGUGGAGCGAAUCCCAAAAACCGGUCCUCAGUUGGAAUUGGAGUCUGCAACUCGACUCCAUGAACUCGGAAUCGCUAGUAAACGCCGGUCAGCGAAACGGCGUUGAAUCCGUUCCCGGGCCUUGUACACACCGCCCGU
rnacentral:rRNA from 1 species